rnacentral:rRNA from 1 species
GACGAACGCUGGCGGCGUGCUUAACACAUGCAAGUCGAACGGAAAGGCCCUGCUUUUGUGGGGUGCUCGAGUGGCGAACGGGUGAGUAACACGUGAGUAACCUGCCCUUGACCUUGGGAUAACUUCAGGAAACUGGGGCUAAUACCGGAUAGGAGCUCCUGCUGCAUGGUGGGGGUUGGAAAGUUUCGGCGGAUGGGGAUGGACUCGCGGCUUAUCAGCUUGUUGGUGGGGUAGUGGCUUACCAAGGCUUUGACGGGUAGCCGGCCUGAGAGGGUGACCGGCCACAUUGGGACUGAGAUACGGCCCAGACUCCUACGGGAGGCAGCAGUGGGGAAUAUUGCACAAUGGGCGGAAGCCUGAUGCAGCAACGCCGCGUGAGGGAUGACGGCCUUCGGGUUGUAAACCGCUUUCGCCUGUGACGAAGCGUGAGUGACGGUAAUGGGUAAAGAAGCACCGGCUAACUACGUG